rnacentral:rRNA from 1 species
AAAUGAAUAGACGGGGGCCCGCACAAGCGGUGGAGCAUGUGGUUUAAUUCGAUGCAACGCGAAGAACCUUACCAGGUCUUGACAUCCUACGAAUACUUAGGAAACUAGGUAGUGCCUUCGGGAGCGUAGAGACAGGUGGUGCAUGGUUGUCGUCAGCUCGUGUCGUGAGAUGUUGGGUUAAGUCCCGCAACGAGCGCAACCCUUGCUAUUAGUUGCUAACAUUUUAAGAUGAGCACUCUAAUGGGACUGCCCGUGACAAGCGGGAGGAAGGUGGGGAUGACGUCAAAUCAUCAUGCCCUUUAUGAUCUGGGCUACACACGUGCUACAAUGGGUGGUACAGAGAGCAGCGAAGUCGCGAGGCGGAGCGAAUCUCAUAAAGCCACUCUCAGUUCGGAUUGCAGUCUGCAACUCGACUGCAUGAAGUCGGAAUCGCUAGUAAUCGCGAAUCAGCACGUCGCGGUGAAUGCGUUCCCGGGCCUUGUACACACCGCCCGU